UACGUAGGGGGCUAGCGUUGUCCGGAAUCAUUGGGCGUAAAGCGCGUGUAGGCGGCCCGGUAAGUCCGCUGUGAAAGUCCAGGGCUCAACCCUGGGAUGCCGGUGGAUACUGUCGGGCUCGAGUCCGGAAGAGGCGAGUGGAAUUCCUGGCGUAGCGGUGAAAUGCGCAGAUAUCAGGAGGAACACCAAUGGCGAAGGCAGCUCGCUGGGACGUGACUGACGCUGAGACGCGAAAGCGUGGGGAGCAAACAGG
rnacentral:rRNA from 1 species